GACGAACGUUGGCGGCGUGCUUAAUACAUGCAAGUCAACUGAAGCAGUGGUAGCAAUAUCGCUGUGGAGGUGGCGCACGGGUGAGUAACACGUAGGUAAUCUGCCUUCAGGUCUGGUAUAACUCCGGGAAACCGGGGCUAAUAGCAGAUGAUGCAGCGGCUCGACAUCGAGACAGUUGUUAAAGCUAUGGCGCCUGAAGAUGAGCCUGCGUCUGAUUAGCUAGUUGGCGGGGUAACGGCCCACCAAGGCAACGAUCAGUAGCUGGUCUGAGAGGAUGAUCAGCCACACUGGAACUGAGACACGGUCCAGACUCCUACGGGAGGCAGCAGUAAGGAAUAUUGCUCAAUGGGAGAAAUCCUGAAGCAGCAACGCCGCGUGAGGGACGAAGGGCUUUUGCUUGUAAACCUCUGUAGUGAGAGAAAAAAAUCCCAAUCUUUGGGACAUGAUGGUAGCUCAAAAGUAAGCCCCGGCUAACUACGUG
rnacentral:rRNA from 1 species